rnacentral:lncRNA from 1 species
CGGGCGUGCUGGUGCACAUCUAUAGUCCCAGCUACUCGGGAGGCUGAAGCACAAGACUCACUUGAACCCAGGAAAUGGAGGUUGCAGUGAGCCAAGAUCACGCCACUGCACUCCAGCCUGGGUGACAGAGUAAGACUCUUCUCCAAAAAAGAAAGGUAAGUGAAGGUAAAUGCUUAUCUUUGUCCCCUUGUGGAAUAUACAUGCUUAUCUCCGCUCUCUUAAAAAGAUACAAACCUCCAAGGAUAAAGACAAAAGCUAAGAGUAGAUAAAAAAUGUCACUGAAAUUUUAGCGGCUGAUGAAAGCAAGUGACAGAGUCAUGGCUGGUGGAGCCCUCUAAGGAAAGCUGACACUUGGUUUUAGAGGUGCAGAACCCGGACAGAGAGGACUGGUCCUCACUGCAGAGCCAGAACGAGGCUAACAUGCAGGUAAGACAGGAAGAGGGCUAGGCCAACCCCAAGUCACUUUCCUGACCCCAACAGGCUGGAAAUGGCUUUUCCCCGUGGCCAGUGGACCACCAGGAACUCUUGGAGAAGGUGAAGCAAGCAGGUAAGAGCCCAAGGACAUCAGGUGUGGCUACGAACAUUGUCCAUUCCAGGCGGGAGGACUCCCAGGCUCCUCUGCAACAGUGUCCACUCCAGAUGGGAGCACUCCCAGACUCCUGAGUGUCCACUCCAGACGGGAGCACCCCCAGACUCCUCUCCAACAGUGUCCACUCCAGAUGGGUGCACUCCCAGACUCCUCAGUGAGUGUCCACUCCAGAUGGGAACACUCCCAGACUCCUCCCCAACAGUGUCCACUCCAGGUGGGAGGACUCCCAGAAUCCUCCACAACAGCGUCCACUCCAGACAGGAGCACCCCCAGGCUCCUCCCCAACAGUGUCCACUCCAGGCGGGAGGACUCCCAGACUCCUCCCCAACAGUGUCCACUCCAGACGGGAGCACUCCCAGACUCCUCAGUGAGUGUCCACUCCAGACAGGAGGACUCCCAGACUCCUCCCCAACAGUGUCCACUCCAGGCGGGAGCACUCCCAGGCUCCUCAGUGAGUGUCCACUCCAGAUGGGUGCACUUCCAGGCUCCUCCCCAACAGUGUCCACUCCAGAUGGGAGCACUCCCAGACUCAGACAGGAGCACUCCCAGACUAAAACAGGAGCACUCCCAGACUCCUCCCCAACAGUGUCCACUCCAGACGGGAGCGCCCCCAGACUCCUCCCCCUCCUCAAACCCAGUGCCACCACAGCAGAACAUAGGCAGAUUCCUUUCUGAGAAGCUGCCCUAAAAAAAAGACCUACAGACCCUGACCUGUGGACUCCCAAACCAUGAAGGAAAGAGCCAGUGCCCUGCUCAGUCCUCCUGCAGGGAGUGUCCCGUUAGCGAGCCCUGACCCCAUGCACACGCGGCCUAUAUGCAGCUUUCAGGUGGAUCAUGCUCUUUUCGUUUUGUAAUUAACCCAUGUAACUCCCACCGAAAUCAAUAUGUAGAACAUUUCCAGUAAUCUAGAUUACCUUACGCCUCCCCGAGUCGAUACCCAACUUAAACCCCUAACAGGCAACCACUAAUGAGACCUUAACCCCAGCAGGCCAAACACCAGAACCAAGUCCCUCGAACCGCACGUUUUUUGUAAAGGAAGUUUUUUUUGGAACACUAGAUGGCCACAUUGAGUAGCUACAAGAGAGACCACAUGGCCCAUAAAGCUGAAAUAUUUACGCUCUGGCCUUUUACAGGGAAAGCUGGCUGGCCAGCCUCUGUCCUCAAGUGUCAGUACAGCCGGUAGCUGAGCCUCAGGUGAGUGAAAUUACACAGUGUGUGCUUUUUGUUGCUGGCCUCUUGGGCUCCACA